AGGGUUUGAUUAUGGCUCAGAACGAACGCUGGCGGCAUGCCUCAUACAUGCAAGUCGAACGAGAAGAUACCUUCGGGUAUUGGACAGUGGCGAACGGGUGCGUAACGCGUGGGAACUUACCGUAUAGUGGGGGACAACAGUUGGAAACGACUGCUAAUACCGCAUACGCCCUUCGGGGGAAAGCUUUAGUGCUAUACGAUAGGCCCGCGUUAGAUUAGCUAGUUGGUAAGGUAAAGGCUUACCAAGGCGACGAUCUAUAGCUGGUUUGAGAGGAUGAUCAGCCACACUGGGACUGAGACACGGCCCAGACUCCUGCGGGAGGCAGCAGUAGGGAAUAUUGGACAAUGGGGGCAACCCUGAUCCAGCAAUGCCGCGUGUGUGAAGAAGGCCUUAGGGUUGUAAAACACUUUCAACUGUGAAGAUGAUGACAGUAGCAGUAGAAGAAGCUCCGGCUAACUCCGUGCCAGCAGCCGCGGUAAU
rnacentral:rRNA from 1 species